rnacentral:rRNA from 1 species
GAUUAAGCCAUGCAUGUGUAAGUAUAAAUAGUUAACUUUGAAACUGCGAAUGGCUCAUUAUAUCAGUUAUAGUUUAUUUGAUGAAGAAUACUAAUUGGAUAACCGUAGUAAUUCUAGAGCUUAUACAUGUAUAAAGUCUUGUAGACUGCAUUUAUUAGAAUGAAAACCAUAGGUUUCGGCCUAUUCGUGAGUAAUAAUAACUAAUCAUAUCGUAUGCUUAAGUAACGAUGUGUCUUUCAAGUUUCUGCCCUAUCAGCUUUCGAUGGUAGUGUAUUGGACUACCAUG